GCUUGCUUGUUGGGGUUGUAGGACACUCUAUACGGAGUUACAAAGGACGACAUUAGACGAAUCAUCUGGAAAGAUGAAUCAAAGAAGGUAAUAAUCCUGUAGUCGAAAAUGUUGUCUCUCUUGAGUGGAUCCUGAGUACGACGGAGCACGUGAAAUUCCGUCGGAAUCUGGGAGGACCAUCUCCUAAGGCUAAAUACUCUCUAGUGACCGAUAGUGAACCAGUACCGUGAGGGAAAGGUGAAAAGCACCCCGGAAGGGGAGUGAAAUAGAACCUGAAACCGUGUGCUUACAAGUAGUCAGAGCCCGUUAAUGGGUGAUGGCGUGCCUUUUGUAGAAUGAACCGGCGAGUUACGAUUUGAUGCAAGGUUAAGCAGUAAAUGUGGAGCCGUAGCGAAAGCGAGUCUGAAUAGGGCGUUUAGUAUUUGGUCGUAGACCCGAAACCAGGUGAUCUACCCUUGGUCAGGUUGAAGUUCAGGUAACACUGAAUGGAGGACCGAACCGACUUACGUUGAAAAGUGAGCGGAUGAACUGAGGGUAGCGGAGAAAUUCCAAUCGAACCUGGAGAUAGCUGGUUCUCUCCGAAAUAGCUUUAGGGCUAGCCUCAAGUGAUGAUUAUUGGAGGUAGAGCACUGUUUGGACGAGGGGCCCCUCUCGGGUUACCGAAUUCAGACAAACUCCGAAUGCCAAUUAAUUUAACUUGGGAGUCAGAACAUGGGUGAUAAGGUCCGUGUUCGAAAGGGAAACAGCCCAGACCACCAGCUAAGGUCCCAAAAUAUAUGUUAAGUGGAAAAGGAUGUGGCGUUGCCCAGACAACUAGGAUGUUGGCUUAGAAGCAGCCAUCAUUUAAAGAGUGCGUAAUAGCUCACUAGUCGAGUGACACUGCGCCGAAAAUGUACCGGGGCUAAACAUAUUACCGAAGCUGUGGAUUGUCCUUUGGACAAUGGUAGGAGAGCGUUCUAAGGGCGUUGAAGCAUGAUCGUAAGGACAUGUGGAGCGCUUAGAAGUGAGAAUGCCGGUGUGAGUAGCGAAAGACGGGUGAGAAUCCCGUCCACCGAUUGACUAAGGUUUCCAGAGGAAGGCUCGUCCGCUCUGGGUUAGUCGGGUCCUAAGCUGAGGCCGACAGGCGUAGGCGAUGGAUAACAGGUUGAUAUUCCUGUACCACCUAUAAUCGUUUUA
rnacentral:rRNA from 1 species